rnacentral:rRNA from 1 species
AUUGAACGCUGGCGGCAGGCCUAACACAUGCAAGUCGAGCGGAUGAAGGGAGCUUGCUCCUGGAUUCAGCGGCGGACGGGUGAGUAAUGCCUAGGAAUCUGCCUGGUAGUGGGGGAUAACGUCCGGAAACGGGCGCUAAUACCGCAUACGUCCUGAGGGAGAAAGUGGGGGAUCUUCGGACCUCACGCUAUCAGAUGAGCCUAGGUCGGAUUAGCUAGUUGGUGGGGUAAAGGCCUACCAAGGCGACGAUCCGUAACUGGUCUGAGAGGAUGAUCAGUCACACUGGAACUGAGACACGGUCCAGACGCCUACGGGAGGCAGCAGUGGGGAAUAUUGGACAAUGGGCGAAAGCCUGAUCCAGCCAUGCCGCGUGUGUGAAGAAGGUCUUCGGAUUGUAAAGCACUUUAAGUUGGGAGGAAGGGCAGUAAGUUAAGACCUUGCUGUUUUGACGUUACCAACAGAAUAAGCACCGGCUAACUUCGU